rnacentral:rRNA from 1 species
UGUGGGGACACAGAACCGAAGGAGAACCCGGGAAUGAAAAGACCGGGGCAAGCAGAGGACUGGUUAAGUCGGCAAAACCGCUUAGCAACAGGAGACUGUGACGCGUACCGAACAGAAGUAGGGAAGUUUCCGUAGGGGCUGUCAAGAAAAGCCGCUAUUGUGUGAUAUGUGCCCGUACCGUAAACCGACACAGGUAGAUGAGGAGAGAAUCCUAAGGCCGGCGGGAGAAGCAUUGUUAAGGAACUCGGCAAAAUGACCCUGUAACUUCGGGAGAAAGGGUGCCUGGGAAACCAGGCCGCAGAGAAUAGGCUCAAGCAACUGUUUAGCAAAAACACAGGUCUAUGCGAAACCGAAAGGUGAGGUAUAUGGGCUGACGCCUGCCCGGUGCUGGAAGGUUACGAGGAGAGGUUAGCUUAUGCGAAGCUUUGAAUCUAAGCCCCAGUAAACGGCGGCCGUAACUAUAACGGUCCUAAGGUAGCGAAAUUCCUUGUCGGGUAAGUUCCGACCCGCACGAAAGGCGUAAUGAUUUGAGCGCUGUCUCGACAAUGCACCCGGUGAAAUUGAAAUACCAGUGAAGAUGCUGGUUACCUGCGCCAGGACGGAAAGACCCCAUGGAGCUUUACUCUAGCUUGAUACUGGGAUUCGGUACUGCAUGUACAGGAUAGGUGGGAGACGAGGAAUAGAGGACGCCAGUUUUCUAGGAGUCGCUGUUGGGAUACCACCCUUGUGG